rnacentral:rRNA from 1 species
UACGUAGGGACCGAGCGUUGUCCGGAAUCAUUGGGCGUAAAGAGCGUGUAGGCGGCCACUUAAGUCCUGCGUGAAAUCCUGCGCACACGCAGGCGGUCGUGGGAAACUGGGUGGCUAGAGUGCGGGAGAGGAGAGUGGAAUUCCUGGUGUAGCGGUGGAAUGCGCAGAUAUCAGGAAGAACACCCGUGGCGAAGGCGGCUCUCUGGAACGCAACUGACGCUGAGACGCGAAAGCGUGGGGAGCAAACAGG